rnacentral:rRNA from 1 species
GACGAACGCUGGCGGCGUGCUUAACACAUGCAAGUCGAACGGAAAGGCCCUGCUUUUGUGGGGUGCUCGAGUGGCGAACGGGUGAGUAACACGUGAGUAACCUGCCCUUGACUUUGGGAUAACUUCAGGAAACUUGGUCUAAUACCGGAUAGGAGCUCCUGCUGCAUGGUGGGGGUUGGAAAGUUUCGGCGGUUGGGGAUGGACUCGCGGCUUAUCAGCUUGUUGGUGGGGUAGUGGCUUACCAAGGCUUUGACGGGUAGCCGGCCUGAGAGGGUGACCGGCAACAUUGGGACUGAGAUACGGCCCAGACUCCUACGGGAGGCAGCAGUGGGGAAUAUUGCAGAAUGGGCGGAAGCCUGAUGCAGAAACGCCGCGUGCGGGAUGACGGCCUUCGGGUUGUAAACCGAUUUAGACUGUGACGAAGCGUGAGUGACGGUAAUGGGUAAAGAAGCACCGGCUAACUACGUG